ACGACCUUACUUGAACAGGAUCUGUUCUAUAGGAUCGUACCUCUGUAUCCUUUAACACUAAGGAGACAGGAACCUAAGUCUGGUUGAGGAAUCAUGACCGUGUGAUCAUAGCGUGAGUAACGGCUUGAUGAUUCCAGUGAUCAUCAUGGCUAUAGAGGAUCGUUCUCCAGCCAUUGACUUGGAUGGGGAUGGUCAUGCGGUUGUCUGACAGGCU
rnacentral:snoRNA from 1 species